rnacentral:rRNA from 1 species
UACAGGAGGGGGCAAGCGUUUAUUCGGAAUUAUUGGGCGUAAAGGGCGCGUAGGCGGCUUUGCAAGUGACGGGUGAAAGCCCUCGGCUUAACCGAGGAACUGCCUGUCAGACUGUGAGGCUUGAGACCGGGAGAGGUGAGUGGAAUUCCCAGUGUAGCGGUGAAAUGCGUAGAUAUUGGGAGGAACACCAGUGGCGAAGGCGGCUCACUGGACCGGAACUGACGCUGAGGCGCGAAAGCGUGGGGAGCAAACAGG